GUGCCAGCCGCCGCGGUAAUACGUAAGAAGCUAGCGUUGUCCGGAAUCACUGGGCGUGAAGGGUACGCAGGCGGUCUAGUAAGUCAAGAGUGAAAUCCAUCGGCUCAACCGGUGAACUGCUUUUGAAACUAUUAGACUUGAGAAUAGGAGAAGGAAGUGGAAUUCCUUGUGUAGUGGUGAAAUACGUAGAUAUUAGGAAGAAUACCAAUGGCGAAAGCAGCUUCCUAGCCUAAUUCUGACGCUGGGGUACGAAAGCUAGAGUAUCAAACGGGAUUAGAAACCCUGGUAGUCC
rnacentral:rRNA from 1 species